rnacentral:rRNA from 1 species
UACGGAGGAUCCAAGCGUUAUCCGGAUUUAUUGGGUUUAAAGGGUGCGUAGGCGGCUUAUUAAGUCAGGGGUGAAAGACGGUGGCUCAACCAUCGCAGUGCCUUUGAUACUGAUGAGCUUGAAUACACUUGAGGUAGGCGGAAUGUGACAAGUAGCGGUGAAAUGCAUAGAUAUGUCACAGAACACCAAUUGCGAAGGCAGCUUACUAAAGUGUGAUUGACGCUGAGGUGCGAAAGCGUGGGGAGCAAACAGG